CAUGUCUUCAACAUCUGGAAAACUCCAAUGCACACAUGUGAGAGUAUGUCUUUGGAUACCUCAGAGGUUAAAUCUCAGCACCCAGAGCAGUGCCCAGCCACUAACCUGCACAAGAUCGAGCCAGUUUCCAUUCUAUAAUAAAACAGAAACAAGAGUCAUUGCCAGGUUAAAGAGAAAAUCAGCUGGGUACGGUGGCUCACACCUGUAAUCCCAGCACUUUGGGAGGCCAAUGCAGGAAGAUCACUUGAGCCAACUAAGGAGUUCGAGCGAGACUCCAUCUCUACAAACAAUUUAAAAUAAUAAAGAGACAGAGAGAGAAAGAAAAAAAAAUCUUGUGUAAUUUAAAGUAAAAGACAAAACUAAACUUCCUCCUUUGUAUAGUGGUGUGAAGAAGAAGAAGAGGAAGAAGAAAAAGAGGAAGAAGAAGAAGGAGGAAAAUAAAAAGACAAAACUAACAUAAAAAUUUCAGGAGCUUCUUUGUAAAAUGAAUAGAAAUUCUUCAAUAGGCCUCUGGGGCUGAGAUGUGAGGAGGAGGAGGAAGAAAAUGAGAGUGGGAAGGACGCACUGGAGGACUGUUACUAUCUGAAUCCUAUCGCCUACAAAACAUCAACUGAUCAAUCAGGCACAAGAAAGUGUUCUGCUUCUUUCUGUCACCUUAGAAAUAACCUGGACGUCAAACAUCGGUGAAAAGAAGAGAAAAAAAGGAAAAUGAAAUAACCUGGAAGCUCCUGAUGAUUUGAGAUCAGAUCUUUACAUACUAAGAGAUGGUUGCUAUAUCUGGGGGCCUUGAGUGAAAGGCAGCAGUGGGAGCCCAGCACCCAUUUCCAGACAACUCCACAGCCCAGAGCCCAAACUCAGCAGUUAUGAGUUGAAUUUAUUUUGUCAAACAAAAAGAGUCAAACUCUGUAAAAUAUUGCAAGAGAUUUAUUCUCAGCCAGAUAUGAGUGCCCA
rnacentral:lncRNA from 10 species